rnacentral:rRNA from 1 species
UGUUUAUAAAACAGCUUUCUAGAGGGGGUUGCUAUGUGGGUGGUGCGCGCGCUUUCGGGCGAGUGUGCUUUUUCGCAUGCAAUUCUUUCUAGGAGGCUACAACCAUUCCGGUGACCAUUCUAUACCUUUUCCGCAAAAUGGUGCGCGAGCCUUUCGAGGUAAGCCACUGUUUUGUAUAUACUAUUUUAUCUAAAACCCACCAUGAAAAACCACAACAGAAAUGAAACCAAGAAAAUAAAACUCGUGACGGAGGAUAUCUUGGCUCCCACAUCGAUGAAGAACGCAGCGAAAUGCGAUACGUAGUGUGAAUUGCAGAACACGUGAGUCAUCGAAUCUUUGAACGCAAGUGGUGCUCGCGGGCAAUCCUGCGAGCAUGUCUGUUUGAGUGUCCGCACAAAUUACUCGCACCCUUUUGUUCUUUUUGCUUUGGAAUUUAUUCCGAGGUAGGAAGUGAGAAAGGGGGCGGCGAUUGGGUUUUUAAUCUGCUUCACUGCGGAAGACCCGGAAAGCAGUGCUUGGAAAAUGGUACGGGGGUUUCGGCUCUUCGUGUCCUUCAUCUAGCGCGGAAACCAGUGUUUAAAACCAGCAAGCAAUGCGUGGUGCUUUUGUAGCGUCCGCUGCGCUGAGAAGAAAGGAAGUCUGGACGGGAUCAACGUUUCGGAGCUCUCUGCUGGGAAGUAACUACAUUCCAGGGGGGCGACGAGAUUGUGGAUGUUUUGUGCCAAACUGCCAUGAAAAAACUUUUCGGGGCACACGGCGGGAAUAGUCCGGCUGGAGGAGGAGUUCAUUUCAUAUGGACGCAUUCUGUGGUUGGAAUUCUGCGGUGUAAAAGGCGGUGCGUGAAGGGGUGCUGUACACUACAUGCGCAGUGCGUCACUGGCGGACUUUAUUUUUUGGAUCUCAAAUCAGGCAAGACUACCCGCUGAACUUAAGCAUAUGGAUCCCGGG